rnacentral:rRNA from 1 species
ACGGGGUGCAGCAGGCGCGAAAACUCCGCAAUGCGCGAAAGCGUGACGGGGCUAUCCCGAGUGCCAUCUGCUGAAGAUGGCUUUUCCCUAGUGUACAAAGCUGGGGGAAUAAGGAGAGGGCAAGUCUGGUGUCAGCCGCCGCGGUAAUACCAGCUCUCCGAGUGGUGGGGAUGUUUAUUGGGCCUAAAGCAUUCGUAGCCGGUUAGGCAAGUCCUCUGUUAAAUCCAACGAUUCAAUCGUUUGACUGCGGAGGAUACUGUCUGACUUGGGGGCGGAAGAGGCCGACGGUACUCUUGGGGUAGGGGUGAAAUCCUAUAAUCCCAGGAAGACCACCAGUGGCGAAGGCUGUCGGCUAGAACGCGCCCGACGGUGAGGGAUGAAAGCUAGGGGAGCGAACCGGAUUAGAUACCCGGGUAGUCCUAGCUGUAAACGAUGCAGGCUAGGUGUUGGGGCGGCUACGUGCCGCUCCAGUGCCGCAAGGAAGCCGUUACGCCUGCCGCCUGGAAGUACGCCGCAAGGC